rnacentral:sRNA from 1 species
AAUUCCCGGCGUGCUAUGCGCGGAGGCCCAGACACGGCCCGCAGCGCGGGAGAUGGAGUCUUGCUUAGUCGCCCAAGCUGGAGUAGUGUGGCUCGAUCUCAGCUCUGCAACCUCUGCCUCCCAGGGUUCAAGCAAUUCUCCUGCCUCAGUUUCCAGAGUAGCUGGAAUUAUAGUGCAGAUUCUGGGAUAGUGAACUCCACGGAAGACUCAGAAACCAAGUUCUAAUUCAGUUGCCAUGAAAACUUAAGGUGAGAGGAUUGUCAACCAGUGAAAAAUACGGAGGAAAACACUAACAGAAUAUGAUGAAGAAGCCAAGACUUGGGCUGCUUGCAUUACAUUAACCGAGGUUUACCCGCAGCGAGGCUGCCUCCAAAGCAUCCGGAGUUUGCAACCAUCACUGUCCACCCCGCGAGCUGCAAUAGUGCGAGAACUACAAU